rnacentral:rRNA from 1 species
UACAGAGGGGGCAGGCGUUGUUCGGAAUUACUGGGCGUAAAGGGCGCGUAGGCGGCCUGUUAAGUCGAACGUGAAAUCCCCGGGCUCAACCCGGGAACUGCGUCCGAUACUGGCAGGCUUGAAUUCGGGAGAGGGAUGUGGAAUUCCAGGUGUAGCGGUGAAAUGCGUAGAUAUCUGGAGGAACACCGGUGGCGAAGGCGGCAUCCUGGACCGAUAUUGACGCUGAUGCGCGAAAGCCAGGGGAGCAAACGGG